rnacentral:rRNA from 1 species
UACGGGGGGGGCAAGCGUUGUUCGGAAUUACUGGGCGUAAAGGGCUCGUAGGCGGCCAACUAAGUCGGAUGUGAAAUCCCCAGGCUUAACCUGGGAACUGCAUCCGAUACUGGAUGGCUUGAAUCCGGGAGAGGGAUGCAGAAUUCCAGGUGUAGCGGUGAAAUGCGCAGAUAUCAGGAAGAACACCCGUGGCGAAGGCGGCUCUCUGGUACGUGACUGACGCUGAGACGCGAAAGCGUGGGGAGCGAACAGG